CAGUACUGGUGGGGUGUUGAGAAAGGGAAAAGAAAAAUGGCGUGGCUGAGUUGGGAUAGAACGAUACUACCUAAAUCUAAGGGCGGUAUGGGGUUCCACGACAUGCGAGCGUUCAAUCAGGCACUCCUCGCCAAACAAGCUUGGAGAUUGUUGGAUACUCGAGGUAGUCUUUGUGCAAGGUUGAUGCGGGCAAAAUACUAUCCUAAUGGUAAUUUGUUGGAUACGAUGUUCACUAGAAAUUCAUCGAUGGUGUGGAAAGGUACUGAGCAUGGGUUGGAGCUUCUUAAGCGAGGUGUUAUAUGGAGAGUUGGUGAUGGUGCCUUAAUUAAAACAUGA
rnacentral:rRNA from 1 species